rnacentral:lncRNA from 1 species
ACCCCAAAAUCAUAUUUAGACAUAAAAUAUUUACCCAGCUUUGUCACCUUAGGGCCCACUGCCCACCGUGCUGCGGCAGGUUGUGGUGUGCAGAGUUUGAGUAAUUUUGCUCAUUAUUAAUUCAUGCAAUUUUUUUUUUUUCAGGGGAAGCUCAUUUGCUGCCGCCAGUCCUAAGAUUAUCAUCAUUAAGAGGAGGCAAAUAAAUUGCUCGGUGAAUGAAGGUGUGGAGAUACAGGAUACAGUAGGUGCAGGCGGCAGCGGAGCGAGGCCAUUCUGGGAGAGAUAAGGUGAGUUUGUGGUGGGCGCUGGUGUAACGGCUGUCACCGCACAUGCAUGCUUUGUGUACACACAGGGUGUUAAGAGCUGUCAGACAGGUAUGGCUCAGGCUUGAUCUGAGACGUGAUUGAUCACACAGGUUCAGGUGGAGUUCACGG